rnacentral:rRNA from 1 species
GACGUAGGGCGCGAGCGUUGUCCGGAUUUAUUGGGCGUAAAGAGCUCGUAGGCGGCUCGUUGCGUCAACCGUGAAAACCCGGGGCUUAACUUCGGGCUUGCGGUUGAUACGGGCGGGCUGGAGUUCGGUAGGGGAGACUGGAAUUCCUGGUGUAGCGGUGAAAUGCGCAGAUAUCAGGAGGAACACCGGUGGCGAAGGCGGGUUUCUGGGCCGAUACUGACGCUGAGGAGCGAAAGCGUGGGGAGCGAACAGG